UGAUGACUGUUCCUCCUACUGCAUUUAGGUAUGGCUCUAGGAUUUUAGGUCAUCAUAAAUUAAAAUUGAUUUUUUUUUCACUCAGAGAAUGUUAAGAUAUUGGGAUUAUCUAUAUAUUCUCUGAAAUUUGCGGGAUCAAACAAUC